rnacentral:lncRNA from 1 species
CAGGAGAUAAUCACCCACAUGCUAGAGUCUGGAAGUUCAGUCCUUACUAGUGUGGAUGAGAGAAUUACAGUGGUUUUUCAGCCAGCUUACUUCAAUACCCCAAGAGCAAGAAUCUAGUAUCUACAUUAAAGGUACUUCCCACUUGUAGCUGAGAGGACAACGUAUCCAUCAGUGAAGUCACAUUUGGAUGCCCCCUGCUACGUGGAGGCUAAUUGUUGCCUAAGGAAAGAACACCCCAGUUUUUGCCAGUUGGUUUGUGAUUCUGAAGACACAGUGGCAGCUACCUGCAGCCUGGGACCUGGGGCCAGGGCCAGGUGCGAGGGUUCUUUAAUCCAUGUGGAGGGAUGAAAGAAAUCGGUGUCUCUCAGAACAUUUGAGAGAGAG